rnacentral:rRNA from 1 species
GCUCCAGCUUGCUGGAGUGGAUCAGUGGCGAACGGGUGAGUAACACGUGAGCAACCUGCCCCGGACUCUGGGAUAAGCGCUGGAAACGGCGUCUAAUACCGGAUACGCACCAGAAUCGCAUGGUUACUGGUGGGAAAGAUUUUUUGGUUCGGGAUGGGCUCGCGGCCUAUCAGCUUGUUGGUGAGGUAACGGCUCACCAAGGCGUCGACGGGUAGCCGGCCUGAGAGGGUGACCGGCCACACUGGGACUGAGACACGGCCCAGACUCCUACGGGAGGCAGCAGUGGGGAAUAUUGCACAAUGGGCGGAAGCCUGAUGCAGCAACGCCGCGUGAGGGACGACGGCCUUCGGGUUGUAAACCUCUUUUAGCAGGGAAGAAGCGAAAGUGACGGUACCUGCAGAAAAAGCGCCGGCUAACUACGUGCCAGCAGCCGCGGUAAUACGUAGGGCGCAAGCGUUAUCCGGAAUUAUUGGGCGUAAAGAGCUCGUAGGCGGUCUGUCGCGUCUGCUGUGAAAACCCGAGGCUCAACCUCGGGCCUGCAGUGGGUACGGGCAGACUAGAGUGCGGUAGGGGAGAUUGGAAUUCCUGGUGUAGCGGUGGAAUGCGCAGAUAUCAGGAGGAACACCGAUGGCGAAGGCAGAUCUCUGGGCCGUAACUGACGCUGAGGAGCGAAAGGGUGGGGAGCAAACAGGCUUAGAUACCCUGGUAGUCCACCCCGUAAACGUUGGGAACUAGUUGUGGGGGCCUUUCCACGGUCUCCGUGACGCAGCUAACGCAUUAAGUUCCCCGCCUGGGGAGUACG